CACGCCGCCCUCUCUCCACUUCUCCUCAAUCACGCCGCCCUCUCUCCACUUCUCCUCAAUCACGCCGCCAUCUCUCCACUCCUCCUCUUCAACCUCCAAAUCCACCCUAAUCAAUCUGAUGGGAUCCCUCCAAUCCACUGGUCGCUGAUGUGCAUCGCAGUCGAUUGGCCUACUGGGCGGCUUGACGGAGAAUCAGCAGGCGGGCGGGCGAUUGGAGGUCAUGGAGGUUGGGGGACGGAGUCGACCGGCCGGAGUGUGCGAUGGGGACAACGGCGUCAAUUCGGCAGGUAGGUCGAAGGAAUCAUCUGCUGCAACGAGCAACUUCGACUUCAACCUGCAGGUGGAUUAAGCAGAGCAAGCACGGAAGUACAACCAUCCUGCCUAGGGUAGCUGCGCCCCAGAAUGCCCAUGCUGAAAAUAAUCUUCCAGUGCAACAAGGUGGUCCUGAACCAAGUUUAUGACUUCACCAAGUCCAUAAGAAGAAUGCUCAUGCUCAAAACAGCAAUGCACCAAGCUACAUGGUCAUCACCAAGUCACUCAGCAGGGCAGUGAGGAUUUGAAAAGUGAGUGCAUAAAAAAAGCUAGGAGUGGCUGGGUACUUGAGGAUUUGAAAAGGGAGCGCACUGGAGGAGUCAGGAGUAGUUGAUGAAUAUUUCUUUGAAUGAACAAAAAUUCUAAAUUAUGUAUAGAUUGUAGCUUAAUAGAGAAAAAUACUUCCAGUCUAUAGGAUCUUUUCUUAUUUAUUUUUCAUAUGAAUGUUUGAUGUUAUUCAGCUGUGAACUCCAAAUACUUUCAGUGGAGACAUUGUUCCUGCUAAUUAAUGCAUUGGAUGUUGUUA